rnacentral:tRNA from 1 species
AUUUAAGUAGUUUAUCAAAAUAUUAAUUUGUGGAAUUAAAGAUAUAAAAUUUUUAUUUUAAAUA